UGGUUAGUAUGGGCAACCGCAGAAGCUUUCAGAGUUGCUGAUGCUCCUGCCAAGGUUUUCUUUCUUCUGAUGAAAAACAAUGAGGAGAUUCUUCCAUUUUGCACACAGAUUCUCCAGUUCCAGACUCAAUGGUGUAUUUCAUGGUUGAGCACUCACAUCUUUCCAUGAAUUUCAAUGAUGUGAGUAUAUUUUCCAUACUUUGACUCUUGGCUAUGGCUCAAUGAUACAAACAGUUAUAUACGAGAAAGGAAUGUUGUCUUCAACAUUGUGAUUCAGUUUGUUAUUUAUUUAUUUUCUAAACUUCGAACCAAAACUUGGCUAUUAAACUUCAAGAUUACCUUGGACUCGUUGCAACAGCUUUUGUUUUUUCCCCCUUUAAUCAGAUGACUUCUUGUCUUGUUUUUUGUUUGGGUGGUUGGCUUAUAUAAUAGAUUAUAUUAGUGACUUUGGAGAAUUACAUGAAUCAUCAAUCUAACUCCAACAAUGUCAAGGAAGAUAAUCUGAAUUCAGAGUUCCUGGACUCAAUGAUGUAUGUUCUAUUUUACUCUUCUUUCUCCCCCUAUAUCAUGCACUACAACAGAUAGGCUCCUUGCUUUACUCAACUUUGUUAUGGCUGAAGUUGAUGAGAAAUUCUGGUAAUGAUAAUUUUUCUUCAUUGAUGAGAAAUUAUUGUUUAAUUAAUUAUGAUCCUAUUAAAUCACUGCAAUAUUUUAUUGUUAUUGUGUAUUUGCCGGCUUGUGCUUUAAUCACUAAAUGAUGUCAAUUUUAGGGCUUGGAAUUUAAUUAUUGUUGGUGGAAUCUCAAUUUAGGAAAUUUAACAUUAGAUUCAUAGUUGUUGUAGGUGUUAGAGUUGGCUGAGAAUGCUUCCGGUUCAAUCAAUUUGCUGCCAAAUUUUUCACAAUGCUUCCAAUUAUCUUCACUUUUUCUUUUACUCUGCUUAAUUGAACUUACUUCUUCAGGGAGGAGGAAGAGGUUGAUAGAUUCAGCAAAGUUCAAGAGAGUUUCUUAACAAGUUCUUCAAUUCUCAGUAUACUUUAAAUUCAUGAAUUAUGAGAAAAUCAACCCUCGAAUGUGCAGGAAUUCUACAACAUCACUAAAGAUACAUACACGAAAUCACGGGUAAAUUUUAAAAAAUAAGUUUUUUUUUUCACUACGAUUUUUUCUCUUUUACUAAUUGUCUUUUUGUUUUCUAUAUUUGAGGGAAAUGCCUCUAUCACAGGCAAGUAAUGACACCUCUCUUUAUGGUUUAUGUUGCAUGAAUAUAAAUACGAGUAUCGAAUACUAUACAAUGCACAAAUCUGGUACAUAAGUGAGUAAAUCUGAAGUAUUUAUGAAACUCUGAUCAACAAUUAAGUACUUACUAGUUGUGUUUUUCUCUGGUUAUAUGUUAUUUUACAAUUUCGCAACUAUACUCUAAAUUUGGUAGUGAACUGCUAUUUUCUCAGAUCAUCAAUUAAUAGUUUAAUACACUAUAUCUGGAACAUUGUCAUUAUUUUAUUUCACACAAAUAUGGUACGUACUCUCU